rnacentral:rRNA from 1 species
GAUGAACGCUGGCGGCGUGCCUAAUACAUGCAAGUCGAGCGGACAGACGAGGAGCUUGCUCCUCUGACGUUAGCGGCGGACGGGUGAGUAACACGUGGAUAACCUACCUAUAAGACUGGGAUAACUUCGGGAAACCGGAGCUAAUACCGGAUAAUAUAUUGAACCGCAUGGUUCAAUAGUGAAAGACGGUUUUGCUGUCACUUAUAGAUGGAUCCGCGCCGCAUUAGCUAGUUGGUAAGGUAACGGCUUACCAAGGCGACGAUGCGUAGCCGACCUGAGAGGGUGAUCGGCCACACUGGAACUGAGACACGGUCCAGACUCCUACGGGAGGCAGCAGUAGGGAAUCUUCCGCAAUGGGCGAAAGCCUGACGGAGCAACGCCGCGUGAGUGAUGAAGGUCUUCGGAUCGUAAAACUCUGUUAUUAGGGAAGACCAAAUGUGUAAGUAACUAUGCACGUCUUGACGGUACCUAAUCAGAAAGCCACGGCUAACUACGUG